rnacentral:rRNA from 1 species
UACGUAGGCAGCAAGCGUUGUUCGGAGUUACUGGGCGUAAAGGGUGUGUAGGCGGUUCCUUAAGUUUGCUGUGAAAUCUCCCGGCUUAACCGGGAGGGUGCGGUGAAUACUGAGGGACUAGAGUACGGGAGAGGAAAGUGGAAUUCCUGGUGUAGCAGUGAAAUGCGUAGAUAUCAGGAGGAACACCGGUGGUGUAGACGGCUUUCUGGACCGUAACUGACGCUGAGACACGAAAGCGUGGGUAGCAAACAGG